rnacentral:lncRNA from 1 species
GCUUAUGAUAGUUGAGUUAGGCGCCCAUGAGAUAGAUAUGAGUUUUGGAAGCAAUGAUGUAUUGUUAAUAUUGAAUGUUGUGUAAAUAGCUUCAUUCUUUUCUUUUGCUCUAUAGCAUUAGUUAGUUCUUAGUUGUGCCUUAGCUUACCAAGGGGUCUAAUUCAGUGCUUCUUAGGACGGAUAUGUAUUACCUGACUCCGCUAAGGCUUCCGAAGAUGGGCCCUUCCCAGCAACAUGCUUAAGACAUUGAUCUCUCUAAGGCUCUCCAGCUCGAAAUCCCAUUCGGAUUUCUUAGUUACUGACCGCCGGGUGGAGGUAAGGUCAGCGUCCCUAGUCUGCUCUCGGUUUGUUUGAUUGCAUCUGCCUCAAGUCACCUACUGGACUCCAAUUCGAAAUCCUAUAUCUCUCUGUUUACUGGACUCCAAUUCUCAAUCCUAUAGCUCUUCUCUCUGUUUUAAGCAUUGAUUGAUUGCUUGAUUGAUGUUGGGGCAUUAGGAUGGGAAAUGGCCUGGCGAAGAAUACCAAGACAGAGCUAAGAUUCCAGCUGGAGAUAGUGAAAGGGGUUGGUUUUGAUUAGCGGAGAAGUCAGCACCUUAUGUUAUGGGUGGGGCCCGAGGAAAGAAUGGGAGCUACAAUGGCCGGACCGAUAGAGCCAUAUAUCAACGGAUGGAACCAAGCAACGAAAGAGAUUGAUUCGCCUAAGACAGAGAAUGCCCAUACCCUAAGGUGAUGAUUUACAGGUAUUUAGGAACCCUGUUUAACCUCCAAUGGGAUUCUUUAGAUAAACGAUGUAUAGCUGGCCUUCAAUAUAACUAGGAGAGCUAGGCAUCGACUUACUUACUACACAUCGGCUUGCUAUGCAGUUUCGUCGGGGAUUAGCAUCGAAUUAUGCCUUAAUGCUUCACCGCUGCCCCCUCUCCUCUCUUUGUAAGGCUGGCGAGGUAAUGAGCAAUUCCCAGAUAGUUUAGUUCUCCUCAAUUGGUUGGCGCCACUUCGUACUCGAGGAUUUGAGACGGUAGUUAAGUGGGAAACGAACACUUGGGGCAGUAGGCGGAGUUGGGCCAGUGUUUAGUAAACCAUGAAGUAAGAAUGGAAUAUUCAUUAAUAAUCUAACAAGAAUCCAGAAAUCUAACAAGACUCAUUUUAUACUAUACUGGAACUUGACUUUCGUAGUGACUUUACUUAUACUGAUUCUACCUUGAUAGCGCUUCCCUCUUUUCGGAUUCCUUCCCUUUUUUGACCACAGAAAAACUCAUACUAAUAGCCAAUGCUACUUUAUGGAUGCUUCAAACAAGUUCUUUGACACUUAUUUCCUUCCUGUCUUUCCCCGAUAUAGGAGUUGGACUCUGCCUUUUCCCUCGGUACUUCUUUCUUCCCUUAUUAUGAUCCCUGCGGUACUUCUUUUCUUCCCUUAUUAUGAUCCCUGCGGUACUUCUUUUCUUCCCUUAUUAUGAUCCCUGUUAAGAAUAGAAAGCUGUAUGAUCCCUGUAAGGAAUAAUAUAUCGCUUGUGCUUUUAUUGCGAGUCAAUCGCCAGGGAUGAAUAGUCUGGUUUUGUAUGCUCAAUCAGUGUUGUGACCUACUUUAUUGCUGGAAGUAAACGAGAGCUUAGCUUAUGAAUUGAUUUCCCUAACGUUUGAGCUCGUCCUCGGAUCUGAUUCUAUGAUUUCUAUAAUGUUUGAGCUCGUCCUUUGAUCUCUACCUUUUCACUCUCUUCCGGUUUAGCCCCAGCUUUCGCUUUUCUCUUACCUUACGAGGAAAGCACAUUACUUCUGCUUCUAUUCAAAGAUUAGAUCGUUCUAUAAUAUCCAUUAUAGUAUCUCGUCAGUCACGUCAAUGAUUAUGAUUGAAUGAAUCGCUUGAAGAUCAGAGUGGCAUUGGAUCGGAAUAGUUGCAGCUGCCCUUAUUAAGGUCUACAGUAAUUCUAGUUUGAUUCAUAGCUCAGGCUCAGCCAAGUUCUCGUAUGGAUAGCCUUGUCAUCAUCGGGUAAGAGGUCGUGGAAGGGGGCCAAGCAACUAGACAAGUAACGGAUAGACAAGCAACGGCGGCCAAGUAACUACUAACGUUACGCGGCAGCAAGUAAUAGUCAUAACGAAGUUAUUACAGUAGAUGUUUUCGGCGGCAGUAACAACAAUAGGAAGUUAUAAACAAGUUAUAAACAAGUCCUGUGUUCGCCAAGCCGAUCUAGGCGCGGUAGCGAGCUAAAAGAGCGUCAGCAGCAAUAAGUAGUUAUAACUUAGUUAUAACUAUUCCUUUGUUUGUGUUGCGCGGCAGCUGUUAUAACCAAGUCCUGUCUUCGUAGAU